GAGAAAAGCCUUUCCGUUGUAUAGAUUACAGGAAUAAAAGGCGAUGUUGCGUCGACCUUUGAAAAUAUCCAGUUAUUUUUGGAAAAUGGUACCAAGCUACCCGAGUUAUUUCCGAAAUAUGCGAAGACGGAAAUAAUUCCGAAAGAAACGGUCCAAACAAAAAAGCUCGACGAUGACACGACACUAGAAAUAGAAGGAAACAUGAGUGAAAUGAUAACAAAAGAAGGGUUGGCUAUCAAAAUUUAUUAUGGAGACAUACGAAAUCUGCCUGUAGAAUGCAUCGUAAAUGCUGCCAAUGAAUCUCUCAGUCAUGGUGGUGGAGUUGCAAGAGCUAUAUCAGAUGCAGCCGGGUACGAAUUUGAUAAAGAAAGUAAAGAAUACGUGAAGAAACACGGACGUUUGGCUGUCGGUUCUUGUUGUGUGACGUCAGCCGGAAAGCUUCCUUAUAAAAACGUAAUCCAUACAGUAGGACCAACUUGGUACGACUACGAUGCUAAAGAGAAAAAAUUGUGUCUCAACGAUGUACAGGAGGCGGUAGAAGUUACGUUUAGACGGGCUGAUAAAUUAGGGCUCCGCUCAUUAGCUAUUCCAGCUAUAAGUUCUGGUAUCUUCGGUGUUCCAAAAGAAAGCUGUACUGAACAAUACUAUAAAGCAGUCGUUGCCUUCAGUAAGCAAUACAAUGGCACCAGUCUUCACGAAAUCCACUUCGUUGAUGUUGAUCUCACAAUGGUUCGUCUAAUUACAACAACUUUUGAGAGACUCUCGGGAUCGAAGUUAACUCGUAAAACGAUAGAUUUGCCUUCCUCUCGGGAAUCGAGAGUUUUGAAAAAAGAACGGGAAGAUCGAAGCAGAAGUCCAAACAAAAACAGUAGCGAUGAUGAUGGCAUCGUAUUUGAUAUUACCGACAAAACAAGUAUUUCUUUAAAGGUCGGUUAUAUUGCUGCGACUGAUGGUUCAGCAAUAGUUUGUCCACAAGAUACAAGAUGUUUGUCUUUUGGGGGAAUUGCAAAGGCAAUAUCUGAUAGAUUAGGUAACAUGGAACAAGACAUGCCUUCAGUAAACCCAAAAGAAGAUGUUCCUCCUGGUAAAGUCAUACCAAUGAAACAGGGGAAAUUAACUGUGCCUUGGGAGUAUAUUCUCCACGCUGUCUGUCCCACAAAAGAAAAGAAGGAUACCAUGGACCAGUUUGAACUUGACUUGAAGGAGACCAUACGAAAUGCCUUCAAAGAGGCUGAGUGUCUUGGUUUGAAAAGUCUGGUCUGUCCUCUUCUUGGAGCGGGUGGUUUCAUGAAAACAAAGGAAUUGGAAAAAACCUGUGUCCAAUGUCUUGUCAAUGUUGUUAAAGAUUUGCAAAAAGGAAAAUGUCCCUUGCAGAACAUUUCAGUGGUAGUUGGGUCUCAGACCAUUCUAAAUUCAAUAAAGAAUGCGCUUACUGGGGCAGGCUUUUGUUGCCGAACAAAACCAAAACCGGAAUGUUGGAAAUAUUCAAAGGAUAUGCGACCAAAAUAUUCUAGAAAGACAGAUUCGGGAAAAUCAUUUAGUUCCUGUAAAGGUACAAGAUCCUGCGACAAAAAAGGAACAUACAACAGUCAUGAAAAAGAAAAUUUUAAAAAAUCCCCAAAACUUGGCAAAUGUGGCGUGAGAUCUUGUCCCCCGUGCGACGGCCGUCAAUUUCGUGAUCCUAAAGCAAGACCACCAUGCGAAGAUACGUCCAAAAAGGAGAAUUCCCAGCCAUUUGGCAUAAUGAAAAUGAGUGAAAACCCGAAAAAACUGCCUGGAUAUGAGGAGUCUGAUGGAACCAUUGUUAUUACAUACGUGUUUGAGGAGGGAUACCAGAUUUCGUUCCAUCCUUUCCCAGGAAGAAAAUACUCGCGUAUUACCCAUACGGCCUAUGUUCCUGACAACGAGAAAGGGCGUCUGGUGACACGCCUCCUUAAUGUUGCUUUCAGUAGAGGACUUCUUUUCACGGUGAAGUCUUCGUCCGGUUGUAUGCCCUGUAAUGGCAUCAUCACGUGGAAUGGAAUCAUUCACAAAACCAGCAUCAAAGGAGGACCAGACGAGUAUGGUUAUCCAGAUCCAGAAUAUUUGGAUUUGGUGCUAGAACAAUUGGCUGCCAAAGAUGUCACGAAGGAAAACAGCAACCCAUCAGAACACAAGGAGUUUUCACGCUGUUUACAAAACUAAACAAAUAAGUUGAAAAUAUAUGACACGCACAUGUUGACAAAUGCUAUUUGAAUACUUAAUAAUUUUGACUUUUUUCCCGGGGAAAUAUACUUUUACGACUGUUGAAGUUAAAUCGUUAACUUUAUUUUACAAAAAUAUUUAAAAGAUGAACAGAAAAAACUCAUUGCACAAUGUAAAUUUAUUUCACUGCAUAGCAUGCUCAUCCCUAUCUGGUGAAGUAACCUUGUUGGUAUGAAGUUAAAAUCUAAAGCAACUUGUGUUUUUCAACCAGAACAAUCCGUUGAUUCUUCAUAUACAUUUAAAUGGAACAAGUUGAACAAUGUGGCUAUCAUUGAUCGGCUAAAUCAUGCACGUCAUUUUAUUUCCCCCUUCAUAAGUGUGUGGCAUAUUGCAUAUCUCAUGUAUCUCUUUAUUUUGUAUAUAACUUCAUUUCUUAAUAGAAGGUCUAUGAUAUUUUCCUAUGUCAAACUGGAAACAAAGUUUCGAUAGAAC
rnacentral:misc_RNA from 1 species